rnacentral:misc_RNA from 1 species
GGCUACGGAGUUCGGGAAUUCCAUUUUGAGUUGCGCUUGCUUGUUGAGGCCUAAAAAGUUUGCAAAUCCACCCAAAGAAGCAACCCAAAAUGUCCCAAUUCUCCCAAUUCCCACGCCUCUCUCCCUUUAUGUCAUAGCUUCAGGCCCAUUUCCCAUCCUUUUAUCAUCUCCUUCUUUCCGACCAGUGUCCCCUUGAUUAAAAUUUAAAAACACGCGCGCCUUAAACCUUCGAAUUCGAUUCCUUCUCUACCAAGCUUUGGACCAGAGUACACAGAAGAUAAUGAGUUCUGAUCCAAGAGACGACAGAUCCGAGAUUGUCUUCUUCGACCUCGAAACGACGGUUCCCACCCGCACCGGUCAGGGUUUUGCGAUACUGGAAUUCGGAGCUAUCCUUGUGUGCCCGAGGAAUUUGGAGGAACUCCGGAGCUACUCUACCUUGGUCCAACCCGUCAAUCCUUCUUUAAUCUCUUCUCUGUCCGUUCGAUGCAAUGGAAUCACAGCUGACGCCGUCAAUUCCGCCCCUACCUUCGCCGAUAUUGCCGAUACUGUCUACGACAUCCUCCAUGGGAGGAUUUGGGCGGGACAUAAUAUCACGCGGUUUGACUGUGUUCGGAUAAGGGAGGCAUUUGCUGAGAUUGGCAGAACACCGCCGGAGCCCAAGGGCAUUAUAGAUUCUUUAGCCUUGCUGACCCAGAGGUUUGGUAGAAGAGCUGGGGACAUGAAGAUGGCUAGUCUUGCAACUUAUUUUGGGCUCGGAAAACAGACACAUAGGAGUUUAGACGAUGUCCGGAUGAAUCUUGAAGUUUUGAAGUACUGUGCAACAGUUUUGUUCUUGGAGUCAAGCCUCCCAGAUGCAUUUCCAGAAAAAAGUUGGGUUUCACCUAAUGCUACUACGAGAAGUCGUAAAAAUGGAAAAUCACCUCUGGAAGGGCCUGGCAUAAACAUAGAUGCUUCCUCUUCAAGUUCAAAGUUUGGAAAUGUUUCUCCUAAAUAUCAUGAAAAUGAGGAAAAUCAUCCAUUAUAUGAUCUGCUGAGAUGUGUUGCAUCUGAUAUGCCUCAACCAGAUACUUUUGACGUGACCGCUCUCAGCAAUGAAAUACAUGCUGACUCCCUUCAGCAAGAUGUUGACAUGGAAAAAAAACCUAUGACAGAGUCUUCUGAGAUGCCUUCAGCAGUGACUGUUCCUGGAAGUUUCAGUGGCAAUGCAGGAUUUUUGGAACCUGAUGAAGUUUCUGUUUCUUCUAUUAGGGCAUGUUUUGUUACAUUCAAAGAUGGGGUUCAAAGAAUGAUAUUAUUGUAUGAGCAUGCCAUUUUGCAGCUUUGUUGUCAUCAUUUAAGGGUACGGUUUGGUUUGAGUACAAAAUUUGUCGAUCAUGCUGGACGACCACGGUUGAGUUUUGUGGUUGAUGCAUCUCCAUGUUUGUGUGGAGUUCUUGAAGCAUGUGAUGAUAUCGUUCGGAAAUUGUUUGUGGAAUCAGGUAGCAACUCUGAUUGGAGGCCUGUUUUGAACAGAAAACCUGGCUUCUUCAACUAUCCUACAGUGAGACUACAGUAAGUUUCCAUUUUCUCUGAUCUCCCCUCUUUUUUUUCUUCACCAAAAUGCCUCAGUUAGGAGUAAAGUGAAAAUGAAAUUGUUGACCAAGGGAAUCAAUUUUGUUCCACUGUCAACUAAUAUGGCAUCAGAAUUUAGGACUCUUUGAUAUCCUUUUUAUCCACCUAAUCAUUUCCUAGUCUAUCUGUGUUUCCAUUAAAGUCUUAUUAAAGGCUUAUCUAAGAACCAAAAAAUUAAAUGGAGAACAGAAAAGAAAAGUAGUUAAAGAAUUUUCUGUGCUGCUCAUCUUUAUAUGCUCUUUGAUUCAAGCAACAUCUCAUAUUAUUUUUUAACAUUUUAAUAAUUAUGAGCACUAUUUAAUUUGCAUUGUUCAUGUUCGAAGGUUACCUUUGCACGCUCAUUGACUCACCGUAAAAGAAGUGAAAAAGACUACCUAAAUAUUGCAAAUUGAGCCUUCUUACUUUUGUUACAAGGGUCUAAGUCCUAAUUUAAUUUUCUAUUCUUCCUAUUGUGCCAAGCAAGAAAGACCUUAAGAGUUCUAUUAUACUUUUGACUUAAACUUGCCUAAUUUUCUCCCUCUUUUCUUUUCACAGCAUACCCACUUCAGUAAAUGGGGAUGUGGCUAAAUAUGAAACAGAGAUAUAUCAGAAAGAUCCUUGUGGAACCACACAAAAGCUUAUGUUCAGUAAGUUUGACGCUGCAGAACUUGUGGCCUGGUUCAGACCAGGGACCUUUUUGGAUGCCUACAUCUCCUUGCAUCCAUAUGACUUUCAGCAAAGUGCUGGCAUCAGAUUAGUGGCCAAGAAAUUAGUCAUUCACAAAGAGUGAAAGGAGCAAGGUUCUCUAAUCUAUUCUUGAUGAUUGCAUGUAAUGUACAGUUGUAACAAAUAAGGCUAACAUGCACAGAUGAAAACAGCAGUUGAAUUUUAUGGUAAAAUGCUGAAGGCAUGAAUGCUAAUAUUUAACAUUGUUUACAUGUAACUGCAAAAUUCUUUCAGUUUGUAAUUUUAAUCGCAGACAUUGACAAGCCUAUUUCUUCUUUAUGUUCUCUUUGCAUUUCGAUUCAU